GGGGCUGUAGCUCAGUGGCAGAGCACUUGCCUAGUCAGAGGCACUGGGUUCGAUCCUCAGCACCACA
rnacentral:tRNA from 1 species